rnacentral:rRNA from 1 species
AUGCCUCGGCUGCUCCUCUUGUGCCUGGUGUCUAGCCAUUUCGCGGUGACCGCCGUCAUGGCGCGGCAGUUCCCCGUCUUCCUCGUCGGUGGCGGCGCCAUGGCAGCGGACGCCCCUUCUGCUUCUGCUUUCGAUGCUUCGCGUCUGCAUAGGCACUCCCUUUUGGAGUCCAGAUUUGCAGCAUCGCCGAUGGGCUCGUCUGACCACGGACUACGGCACGGCCCCUUCGACAGGCACUUCGCCGGGGGCAAGAUCAUACUCGGCGGCCUCGCGGUGGCGAUCAUCGCCGCGGUCUUCUGCUACAUCCGCAUCACCAGGGCCAAGAAGAUCGUCGAGCCAAAAACUUAG